AGAGGGUGCAAACGUUGUUCGGAAUUACUGGGCGUAAAGCGUGUGUAGGCGGCCAUAUAAGUCGGAUGUGAAAGCCCUGGGCUCAACCCAGGAAGUGCACUCGAUACUGUAUGGCUAGAGUACUGGAGAGGUUGGUGGAAUUCUCGGUGUAGAGGUGAAAUUCGUAGAUAUCGAGAGGAACACCGGUGGCGAAGGCGGCCAACUGGACAGAUACUGACGCUGAGACACGAAAGCGUGGGGAGCAAACAGGAUUAGAUACCCUGGUAGUCCACGCCGUAAACGAUGGGUGCUAGGUGUCACGGGCUUUGACUCCUGUGGUGCCGUAGCAAACGCAUUAAGCACCCCGCCUGGGAAGUACGGCCGCAAGGCUA
rnacentral:rRNA from 1 species